AUUUGUGGAUGAGUCCCAAAUAGGACGAAACGCGCUUCCUAAAU
rnacentral:hammerhead_ribozyme from 1 species